rnacentral:rRNA from 1 species
UACAGAGGUCUCAAGCGUUGUUCGGAUUCAUUGGGCGUAAAGGGUGCGUAGGCGGCGCGGUAAGUCGGGUGUGAAAUCUUGGAGCUUAACUCCGAAACUGCAUUCGAUACUGCCGUGCUUGAGGACUGGAGAGGAGACUGGAAUUUACGGUGUAGCGGUGAAAUGCGUAGAUAUCGUAAGGAAGACCAGUGGCGAAGGCGGAUCUCUGGACAAAUCCUGACGCUGAGGCGCGAAGGCCAGGGGAGCAAACGGG